rnacentral:rRNA from 1 species
UACGGAGGGUGCGAGCGUUAAUCGGAAUUACUGGGCGUAAAGGGUGCGUAGGUGGUUGAUUAAGUUAUCUGUGAAAUUCCUGGGCUUAACCUGGGCAGGUCAGAUGAUACUGAUUGACUCGAGUAUUGUAGAGGGUAGUGGAAUUUCCGGUGUAGCGGUGAAAUGCGUAGAGAUCGGAAGGAACAUCGGUGGCGAAGGCGGCUACCUGGACAGAUACUGACACUGAGGCACGAAAGCGUGGGGAGCAAACAGG